rnacentral:rRNA from 1 species
CAGCCGCGCGGGAAUACGUAGGUGGCAAGCGUUGUCCGGAAUUAUUGGGCGUAAAGGGCUCGCAGGCGGUUUCUUAAGUCUGAUGUGAAAGCCCCCGGCUCAACCGGGGAGGGUCAUUGGAAACUGGGAAACUUGAGUGCAGAAGAGGAGAGUGGAAUUCCACGUGUAGCGGUGAAAUGCGUAGAGAUGUGGAGGAACACCAGUGGCGAAGGCGACUCUCUGGUCUGUAACUGACGCUGAGGAGCGAAAGCGUGGGGAGCGAACAGGAUUAGAUACCCGCGUAGUCCCUGUCUCUUAUACA